rnacentral:rRNA from 1 species
AUUGAACGCUGGCGGCAUGCCUUACACAUGCAAGUCGAACGGUAACGGGCCUUCGGGUGCCGACGAGCGGCGAACGGGUGAGGAAUACAACGGCACGUGCCCGCUCGUGGGGGAUAACGAGGCGAAAGCUUUGCUAAUACCGCAUACGAUCUACGGUUUAAAGCCGGGGACCGCAAGGCCUUGCGCGGACGGAGCGGCCGAUGGCAGAUUAGGUAGUUGGUGGGGUAAAAGCUUACCAAGCCGACGAUCUGUAGCUGGUCUGAGAGGAUGAUCAGCCACACUGGGACUGAGACACGGCCCAGACUCCUACGGGAGGCAGCAGUGGGGAAUUUUGGACAAUGGGCGCAAGCCUGAUCCAGCCAUGCCGCGUGCAUGAUGAAGGCCUUCGGGUUGUAAACUGCUUUUGUACGGAACGAAAAGCCUUCUUUUAAUACAGGAGGGUCAUGACGGUACCGUAAGAAUAAGCACCGGCUAACUACGUG